AAUGGCCUAUUAUGAACCGUACCCUAAAAGCUUCACAAAGGAAAAGUGAAUGGGCAGACGGGAAUUUGAUGUUUCUAAAAGACAUGUGUGACCUGAUGUGGAAUUAAUAUACCAAUAUGUGAAAUUUCCAGAAAGUAAGAGAAUGCUUGAAGGAGUUAUUGUGAUGAUCACACCUGGAAUUAAGGCACCAUGGAGGAGCUAACUGGAAUGAGACUGCAGAGAUACAAUGGGCACAAUACAGUAUGUAUUGUAAUGAAGGAGGAAGCACACGUUUAUUUUUGGAAAAACUACAAACUGGAAUCAAAUCCUGCUACAGGAGCAAGUUGCUGCUGCCAGGGUGAAGAAACGCUGCUGGGGUGAUGCCCAUAGCAACAUGACGCCGACAGGACAGGCAAGUCCCUUCCACCCUCCGGCUUCCCUUAGUGCCCCCUGUUGGCUGAGUCUAACAAAGCAGCUGGCAAGGUGGUUCUCAGAAUUCCUGCCCCAUCACAAAGCCCAGCACAGAAGGGUGGGUCUGAAGCGGGAUAUGUAGCUUGAUGAUUGGAACAAAGAACAGAGGCUAAGGAAAACAGUUUCGUUAUCUCCCCCAUAACAGUUCAGAAGAGUUUUAUGCUUAACAGAAGGAAAGACAGAUUUUAAUAUUGGCUUUGGAGGAAGGGACAUAAACAAGUUACGUUUCACUGAUUUCUGCAAAUUCGUGCAAAAUUAAAACUACAGAAUACAUUGGAAAGAAAUAUACCUUUAGAAUCUCCAAGUACAUAGAGAACUGCUUUACUUAGGCGUUACAUAAAUACAAACGCAUAUUAAUUACCCUGUUCAGUGAGGUAGAAAAAAGACAAUUAAUUGUUUAGCUGCUGAAGAUUCUUUAUUAUUAGGACAGAAGGACAAUUAGCUUUAAAAGCAUUGCUCAGAACAUGUAUUUUUUUUUCCCCAAAUGUUGCUUUUUUUUUUUUUUUUUUCCGAAACAGAACAAACCAAGCCCUUUCCCGCAAGAACUACAUUGUGAAGAAAGCAAAUGCUAAGUAGGAAUUAGAAAAAAGAAAACAUGCCUAAAGCCCAUGGGAAUGACAAUUCCUGGUUAACUGUAAAAAAUGGGGAAUGUAAUUGAGACAGAUGACCAGAUUUAGGAAAAAUAAACCUCACCAUUAAAAUCUAAUUAAAUAUUUACAUUUCAGCAUUAAGUUUCUUCUCAAAAGUUUUGUGAGCAGCGGGGUGACAGUGAAGAUUAUUGACUAUAAUUUGCCGAAGUUUUUUAAACUAAAUUAGUUUUGUGCAAUGUAUGGAAGGUUUACUCAGCCGCACUUAUCCAGCGGCUGCUUUAUUAUUCUUUUAAAGUGAAUCAUUUAUAACUGUUCUCAGAGAUCUUUUAUCAGCUACUUAUCUCCUUCAACUGGACUUGUGAUGCCAAGGGAUAAAAUGAAUUGCUGGCUAAUAUUGUGAGAAUUAAUCAGACCACAACAGCAGGAGAGUAAUGACUUACUUACAGUCAGAUAUUUGCAUUUGGCAGUAAAAUCACAACAAAAAUAUAAGGAUGUUUAAUCUUUUGCUUCGACUGGAGCACGGGAACAUGUUGGCAAUACAAAAGAAAUACAAUAAUCGUGUGUUUUAAUUUUGGGUGUUUACCUAAUCUGAGGGAUUUAUUUAUUCUAGGAAGAAAGCUCUUAUUUGAUGUGAAGAUUUUUUUUUCAUUUUGCAGCACCUUAGAUUGGUCUUGUUUCCUGAAAUUUUUUUUUUUUUUUCUGUUAGAGAUCUUUGGACAGAUGAACUGAGCCUUUUGCCCCUCAUCUCACCUUUCUCCAAAAUAUGCUGGUUCUGUUAUCUUUGUUUCCUUUCUGUCCCUUGGCCCCUUGGUAACUUAGAAGAAAGGAGUGGCACAACCAAGACCAAGGGUGGCAACGUUACUGCUGCUAUUCUGUUGAAAUGAUUUCAUGUGCUGCUUGUUCUCUUUUCUUAGAGUCUGGCAGUUUCAAAAAGUAGGAUUAGGUUCUUAGUUGCUAUGUAAACACUAAAGAAGGUAUGCAGUGAGAAAUUAUUUCCUGAUUUGAGUCUAUAAAUCAAAUGCUUUGGAGAGCAUUUCCUAUAAUCAGAAGCCACUUUCUUCAAUUUAUAUGUCUGUAUCAGUGUGUUAAUGGCAUCCAUUACUGUUUGGUUCUGGUAAGUUGUAGAAAGUUGUCCUCCUCAGUAACUGUAUGGUUUUUGGCCUUUUCUGGAUACAUGCCCAUGUGUAUGUCGUAUACAUAUGUUAGUGUGCCUGUUCACACUAAUACACAUAUUUUUUCCCUUUUCAGAAGUCGUGUAGUAUCUAAGUGGGAAAGCUAAGUAGAAAAGCACAUAAACUCAAAGAGACCUAAGUUUAAAUCUCUUUUAAAGGCUAUUUCCUGGUCAUGUUAUUCACCUCUUGGAACUUUAUUUUCCUCAUGAAUAAAAUGAGGAUUACAAACCUACCUUGCAGAGUUGUUGUGAGGAUUAGAGAUUAUAAAUGAAACGUGCCUGACACUUGCUCAACAAAUGACAGUAGCGAUUGUUCCUAUAAUCCACGGAUAAUCAGCACCUUUGGAUUUCUUGCACUUCUUGUGGGUUUCUGGUUAAAGCAAAGAAUAAAGCCUGUACAUUUGCCUGGAGCAGUCCAUGGAUCGUAGCUUUGGAAAAGUCUAAACUCCGAGUCUACCUUCAGACUGGUAGCUCUAGUCAAGGACAGGGAGCCCCCACACAAAGCAGAAUCUUGUGCAUCUUGUUUUAUAGUCUUUCUGAAGUCUAUCUUCCUAAUUUCCAGAGCAAUUUGCUUUUUCUUCUAAACUUCUCAGGGGCAGAGACUGUGUUUUAGUUUUCUUUACAUCACUAGAGCUGAUA
rnacentral:lncRNA from 1 species